CAGGUUUUCAUCGCCUUUGUCCUUCGGUUGUGCUCCUUUUUGCCAUGCACCCGGACCACGCAACCAGACGACUCAAACACCUGCAACUGCAAAAAAAAUAAAAUAACAAUCGGGCUGCACUUCCUGAGCGACGCCAACGCCUCUACAAACAGCAUAGAUCUCAAAACUGAAGUAUGGGCUCACGAGAGCUCAAAACUAACCACUGGCCGAGAGCUUCUCUUUCCACAUAAGGUACGCAAUCACCACGGACGCACUGCAAGAGCCGAAAGCACAAAAGUUAUAAAAACUGAGAGGGAGAGAGAGAGAAGUUUGGAGUUACCUGCGGGAGAUGCCACCACCACAGUGUACCAGCACUAUGCCCUUGUUCACACCCUCGUCGAUGAACUUGAGCGCGUCCUCGAGGUGUUCCAGCA